rnacentral:lncRNA from 1 species
GGAAUAUUGAGAACAAUAAGUGAAAUUCAAACUUUUAAACUUUGUAAUUAAUUUUCAUUCCGGAGAACUAAGAGAAUCCAGGAAAGUAGAUUCUCAAGUACUGAGGUGACCAACAUUUCUAAAAUUCAUCAGCAAGCAAGCUUUUGCUGAGUAAACUAUAAACUUCCACUCUAUUGCAGAAUGACUGUUGGUUUCUGCCUCAUAAAAUCUAAAUGUAGCCUUUUUUUUUUUUUUUCAAAGAGUUAAUCAAAGUACACCACCAAGAAUAAGUCAUUUCAAGAAUUAUCAUCAAUGAACUUGCUUGAACCCAGCCCAGCUGCUGUGUGCAGCUUCAAACAGUUGCUACACUCUCCCUCCCUUGCCUAUCACAACUUUCUGGAAAAUUGUGGAGUAACUGUUACAGCUACAAAGAAAUCUGCCGAAAAGUUGGCACCAAAGCUUUGUCUGAUGUUCAGAGACCUAAGCAACUUUACUGGAUCAAUAAGAAGCACUGAUCCAUUCAGGAAGCCUUUCCUGGACUUCUCCCUUGUGGCAGCUCCAGAGCUUUAACACUCCAGGUGGAGUGGAUCUGGCUCCAGGUAGAGUCUGUCAGUAUUUUCAUCAGAGUAUAUAUCUUUCAUAAACAUGAAAAAGGCAGGUUUAGAAGUACUCAAGAACUCUUAGAAUCAGAUUUCAUUUUAUCACGUUCUUUGCCUAAACCAAUAAAACAAACUUCCCUUAAACUCCUGAUAAUACAUUGGGAAACACUUUUAUUUCUCUGUUGCAAUGCUCUACAAGAAAUUGUAUUAUUUUCUGCUUUUUAAAUACUAUAUGUGUGCCAUUUCCCUUGAAAUAUGUUAAAAAAAAAAAAAAGUAAAGAUGUUUAAAAUGACAGUGAAAUUUCUGUUUCAGGUUAUGUUAAAUAUUUUGUACAGUUCAAGUGUUCAAAAAUGUUUGAUUGGCUGAAUAUUUUUCUUUUUGUCAGAUCAUCCUGUGAUCAUUCCUGUCAGAUCAUUCCUGUGACUGGAAGCAUUAGCAUUCACUUAGCUUUAGUCACUGACUCUUUAAUUUAAAUCUCUACCUGGAAAAAAUUGUUUUCAGCAUAGAGUAACCCCUGGACUCUUCCCACAGUGCCCCUACAUCUCUGACCUGCUAACAAAACUUUGCCAAAUACACCCAUUGCAAUGGGUUUCCCAAAUCAUCCUUUCCUGUUCCUUUAUUUAUUCCAGACUGUCAGGACACUGAACUGAAGACUGGUAGAGCUUGUAAUGAUGUCAGCAACAUAUAGAGAGAGAGAAGAGGGGAGAGAGACAUUCAUCUUAUAUGGCUAAAACUUAAAAGGCAUCUCUCCAGGUCUAAGAAAGUUAUAAGAUGCCCAAAUCAGCUCAUACUGAAAAAUGCUUGCUUACUACUGCCAGU